rnacentral:rRNA from 1 species
UACAGAGGUCCCAAGCGUUGUUCGGAUUCACUGGGCGUAAAGGGUGCGUAGGCGGUCGGGUAAGUCUGAUGUGAAAUCUCACAGCUUAACUGUGAAACUGCAUUGGAUACUAUUCGGCUUGAGAGUUGGAGGGGGGACUGGAAUUCUUGGUGUAGCAGUGAAAUGCGUAGAUAUCAAGAGGAACACCGAUGGCGAAGGCAGGUCUCUGGGCAUUAACUGACGCUGAGGAGCGAAAGCAUGGGGAGCGAACAGG